rnacentral:lncRNA from 1 species
AGCCAAAUGGUUUAAUCAGGAACUUUAUAAUUCCAAAAAGCUCCUCAAAUUUUAGCUGCAGUCAAAGCUCUAGGAAAAGGCUAUUUAACCAGAAACUGUCAGUUAUCUGGAGGCUGAGCAGGUCUGAAGCCUAAAUUCUAUGGAUCUGCAGAGCACACAUUCUGUAGAGGUUGUCAUAUCCUCCGUCUGCAGCUAAUUAGCUGGCAACACUUACAAGUUGUACCAGACCACAGCAUGUCUUUGCAAUCAGUCAGCUGCUCAGAAAGACUAAAGGACCCAGGAAUCCAAGAAGCUUUCUGCAUUAAUGAGGAGGAGGAGCAAGCACAAUCAGAAUGUUAUCUGAGUUUUCCUGCUGGCAUGCUCUGCCACAUCACCCCCUCCUGCCACAGACUUCCAGAGAGUUUAAAGGCUCUUCUGCAGCAUAAAUGCAGGGAAAUUAACACCUGUGUAAGGAACAGGGAAACCUGGGACUGGUCAAAAUGACUGCUGACUGCAUAGUAGCUGUUUGCUUACGCCUUUCCUUUUGAAUGCAGAUCUGCAACUUUGAGACAUGGAUAACUUCCAGAAGGGACUGCUAGAAUUAACUGUAAUUGGCGCUGCCCCUGAAGACUAGGCAGCCACUUCAGUAUAAGCAAUUUACUUGGGCAGCCAUCCUGCAAGCAUGCAUUAGGUAGUUUUAAGCACAUGAGUAAAGUUACGCAUGAUCUUAAAUCUUUGUUGUGCUUGGGCUCUAGUGAUGCUUUUCAGGGAGAGUGUAUAAUAUCUGAGCUUCACAGUCUCUACUGACUUCCAAAUAUAAUUCCAAAUGUUG